UUUUCUUUCCUUUCCUUUUCUCUCUUUCCCUCCCUUUCCUUCCUCGCAGCCGGGACUGGAGUCUCCUCAGCGAAACUCCUGUGCUUUCGCGGCCGCAGCAGCACGUCUUACUGGCUAAUGAAAGCCAAAACCUGACUGUACUGCAGGAAGAUUCAUACACACUGCAGCCAUGUUGGCACACAAAAUUUGAAAUGGCUACUGCAUCCCUCUUCUGAAGAGAUCCAUAUCCCCCUCCAGGAGGGAACUUGGGUGAGCCCUGGCUUGAUCAGUAAUUUCCCUGGGUGCACAGAAAGGUUUGAAGCCUAUACUGUUAAACAGGAAUGGGGAGAGAGGCUGUAGAGGGGCCUUGACACACGCUGCCUGCAGCUGCAGAGCUGAGGGUCAACCCACAUCCCACUUCCUGGGAGCAGCAGCAGGAACAGAUCCCUCCUUCCACAUCAAGGUUGGAGGCAAUGUGUUCCUGAACAAGGCUGGUUUGGGGAUGUAGGAUGUUCCUGAAUCCUAAAGUUAGACAAGUAUGCAUAGAGCAACUUCAGCUAAGUGGGUAUGUUGGUGGGCUUUCUUAGGGCAAGAUUUUACCUGGGAUUAUUUAUUUUCUUGCAGAAUACAUAAUCUGCCCUAUCAGUUAGAUGGAAUUAUUACCCACUCACAGCAACCUUCACAGCUAGAAUGGUAUUACUCAUUCUCCUUAACAGAAACCUAGCACUGUGGUUUUGGU